rnacentral:miRNA from 1 species
UCCCAUUUUUCAUUGAUCUCCGU